GCGGGGGGUGCGGGGGGAGUAACCGCUGGGACACCUGCAAGGGCGACUCCGGGGGCCCGCUGGUGUGCGGGGGCGUGGCCGAGGCCGUGGUCACGUCGGGCUCGCGCGUGUGCGGCAACCGCAAGAAGCCCGGCAUCUACACGCGCCUGGCGAGCUACGUGGCCUGGAUCGACGGCGUGAUGGCCGAGGGCGCGGCCGCUUGACGAGGCCCCGAGGGGCGGCCGACCGGGGUCGCGCAAUAAAGCAUCCUCUCCUGCA